GACGAACGCUGGCGGCGUGCCUAAUACAUGCAAGUUGAGCGCUGAAGGUUGGUACUUGUACCAACUGGAUGAGCAGCGAACGGGUGAGUAACGCGUGGGGAAUCUGCCUUUGAGCGGGGGACAACAUUUGGAAACGAAUGCUAAUACCGCAUAAAAACUUUAAACACAAGUUUUAAGUUUGAAAGAUGCAAUUGCAUCACUCAAAGAUGAUCCCGCGUUGUAUUAGCUAGUUGGUGAGGUAAAGGCUCACCAAGGCGAUGAUACAUAGCCGACCUGAGAGGGGAAUCGGCCACAUUGGACUGGAGAAACGGCCCAACCCCCUACGGGGGGCAGCAGAAGGGAAUUUUCGGCAAUGGCGAAAGCCUGACCGAGCAACGCCGCGUGAGUGAAGAAGGUUUUCGGAUCGUAAAACUCUGUUGGUAGGGAAGAACGUUGGUGAGAGUGGAAAGCCCAACAAGUGACGGUAACUACCCAAAAAGGGACGGCUAACUACGU
rnacentral:rRNA from 1 species